rnacentral:rRNA from 1 species
UGGGGAAUUUUGGACAAUGGGCGCAAGCCUGAUCCAGCCAUGCCGCGUGCGGGAAGAAGGCCUUCGGGUUGUAAACCGCUUUUGUCAGGGAAGAAAUCUUCUGAGUUAAUACCUCGGGAGGAUGACGGUACCUGAAGAAUAAGCACCGGCUAACUACGUGCCAGCAGCCGCGGUAAUACGUAGGGUGCAAGCGUUAAUCGGAAUUACUGGGCGUAAAGCGUGCGCAGGCGGUUUUGUAAGACAGAGGUGAAAUCCCCGGGCUCAACCUGGGAACUGCCUUUGUGACUGCAAGGCUUGAGUGCGGCAGAGGGGGAUGGAAUUCCGCGUGUAGCAGUGAAAUGCGUAGAUAUGCGGAGGAACACCGAUGGCGAAGGCAAUCCCCUGGGCCUGCACUGACGCUCAUGCACGAAAGCGUGGGAGCAAACAGGAUUAGAUACCCUGGUAGUCCACGCCCUAAACGAUGUCAACUGGUUGUUGGGAAGGUUCCUUCUCAGUAACGUAGCUAACGCGUGAAGUUGACCGCCUGGGGAGUACGGCCGCAAGGUUGAAACUCAAAGGAAUUGACGGGGUCAUAGCUGUUUCCU